AGUACGAACACACACUUUGAGUUUAGUUUCAAAUGCAUAAAUAUAACGCAUAUUGAAUAUAUAAUCUGAAUCCCAUGACGUGUUGCUAGUUACGUGACGUUAACCUGCAAAUCCAGCGGUCGGCAGGUCUUAUUUUUUUGGGGGGGGGUGGAAUAAAUUCCAGUAUGUGGACCAACAGCUGGGCAGCAGACGGCUGGAAGUGAAAUAUUAACUUUAUGAAGUUCAUUGAGGGCGCUGAGGUCAUUUUUACCAAAGCGUGUUUACACGCCCUUUGCUUUUACUGCUUGGUGAAGAAGCCGUUCCUGCCAUCAGCGAACUAACAGCGCCACCCGGUGGUCAGCCCGCCGCAUGGCGUACAGGAUGUCUGAUGGAAACACACUGGCCGAACACGCAACGGCGGACACAUAGGAAGAUGAUGGACAUUAAAAGAUGGACAUCAAACGGACAAACUGAGGCAAUGUGUCUUCACCUGAGAAUUGUGUUGCAAGCCAACAGCUUGGGUCCACAUUACCUCCUGCUCGUCUAUUCUAUUGACAUACUGCACAUUGCAACAGUCAAAAUAAACUAGUAAAAAACACAAUGUGUUGGGGGAGGAGAGGCCGAAUGGAUGGAGACGGUGACAUCAAGGUGAUUAGAGGCAAAUCUAUUUUUUUUUUUGUAUUUUAUUUCAUUGUAUGUUAACCGUUGCUACCAAUGUAAUGGGCUGACACAGCCCUUGAUGUAAUUAAACGUAAGUCACCUUUAAUGUUGUCAUUAUUACACACAGUAUGUUCAGAUUCUCAAUGUAUGACCCAAUAUUACUAGUCCACUUAU